rnacentral:misc_RNA from 1 species
UUUUUAAACUGGGGGAGGCGAGUUGUACACCCGAAGUCGUGAGGUAACCAGUAAGGAGCCAGCCGCCUAAGGUGGGAUAGAUGAUUGGGGUGAAGUCGUAACAAGGUAGCCGUAUCGGAAGGUGCGGCUGGAUCACCUCCUUUCUAAGGAUAAGGAACUGCGCAUUGGUCUUGUUUAGUCUUGAGAGGUCUUGUGGGGCCUUAGCUCAGCUGGGAGAGCGCCUGCUUUGCCGCAGGAGGUCAGCGGUUCGAUCCCGCUAGGCUCCAUUGGUGAGAGAUCACCAAGUAAUGCACAUUGAAAAUUGAAUAUCUAUAUCAAAUAGUAACAAGAAAAUAAACCGAAAACGCUGUAGUAUUAAUAAGAGUUUAUGACUGAAAGGUCAGAAAAUAAGGUUAAGUUAAUAAGGGCGCACGGUGGAUGCCUUGGCACUAGGAGCCGACGAAGGACGUGACAGACGACGAUAUGCAUUGGGUAGCUGUGAGUGAGCGAUGAUCCAGGCAUUUCUGACGGGGGGCCCCCCCAGGUCCCGGGAACGUUUUUCACAGGCCCGGGAACGUAUUUCACAGGCCCGGGAACGUAUUCACAGGCCCGGGACGUAUUCACAGGCCGGAACGUAUUCACAGCCCGGACGUAUUCACAGGCCGGGAACGUUAUUCACAGUCUGGUAACGUAUUACAGGCCGGAAACGUAUUCACAUGUCUGGACUGAUUUCAUAUGCUCGGACGUAGUGCACAGCCCGAGACCUGAUCCAUAUGCCAGAACGAUUCAUAGGCCUUGUCUGUUUGCGAGUUCUGUAUCUGUAUGCUAAGUGCAGUGAUGUAUGUAGAUGCACGUUAAUAACUAGCAGUCAUUGACAUAUACUAUGAUGUG